UACGUAGGGGCGAGCGUUGUCCGGAAUCAUUGGGCGUAAAGAGCGUGUAGGCGGCUUGGCAAGUCUGACGUGAAAGCCCGCGGCUCAACCGCGGAUUGUCGUUGGAAACUGCCUCGCUAGAGUCCGGAAGAGGAGAGCGGAAUUCCUGGUGUAAGCGGUGGAAUGCGCAGAUAUCAGGAAGAACACCGUGGCGAAGGCGGCUCUCUGGGACGGUACUGACGCUGAGACGCGAAGCGUGGGGAGCGAACAGG
rnacentral:rRNA from 1 species